rnacentral:rRNA from 1 species
CAAUAGCGUAUAUUAAAGUUGUUGCAGUUAAAAAGCUCGUAGUUGAAGAUACGAACGCUUACACUAGAACAAAGUUUCCGGUGUCUGCGUUCACUUUUCGCAAAGACAGCCUGGACCAUUAGUUUGGGUCUUGUUUGAGUUGCGUCAUUUACUGUGAACAAAUUAGGGUGUUUAAAGCAGGCCUACGUUUGAAUACACUAGCAUGGAAUAAUAAGAUAUGAUCUUGGUCGUAUUUUGUUGGUGACUACCAAGAUAAUGAUUGAUAGAAACUGUUGUGGGUAUUCGUAUGAGCAUGUCAGAGGUGAAAUUCUUGGAUUUUGAUCAGACGAACUACUGCGAAAGUAUUUACCAAGGAUGUUUUCAUUAA